GGGCUUGACAUCCCACGAACCUGCCCGAAAGGGUCGGGUGCCCGCAAGGGAGCGUGGAGACAGGUGGUGCAUGGCUGUCGUCAGCUCGUGUCGUGAGAUGUUGGGUUAAGUCCCGCAACGAGCGCAACCCUCACCCCUUGUUGCCACCGGGUAAAGCCGAGCACUCUAGGGGAACUGCCAGCGUCAAGCUGGAGGAAGGUGGGGAUGACGUCAAGUCAUCAUGCCCCUUACGCCCUGGGCUACACACGUGCUACAAUGGUUGGUACAAAGGGAUGCGAGACCGCGAGGUGGAGCUAACCCCAAAAAACCGGUCUAAGUUCAGAUUGCAGUCUGCAACUCGACUGCAUGAAGGAGGAAUCGCUAGUAAUCGCGCAUCAGCACGGCGCGGUGAAUACGUUCCCGGGCCUUGUACACACCGCCCGUCACACCACGAAAGCCGGCUGUACUCGAAGUCGCUGAG
rnacentral:rRNA from 1 species